UAGGGAAUAUUAGUAAUGGGCGAAAGCCUGAACUAGCAACGCCGCGUGUGCGAAGAAGGCCUUCGGGUUGUAAAGCACUUUUUGAGAGGAUGAGGAAGGACGGUACUCUCAGAAUAAGUCUCGGCUAACUACGUGCCAGCAGCCGCGGUAACACGUAGGAGGCAAACGUUAUCCGGAUUUACUGGGCGUAAAGCGCGUGUAGGUGGUUUGGUAAGUAGGGCGUGAAAGCUCCUGGCUCAACUGGGAGAGGCCGUUCUAAACUGCCGAACUAGAGGAUGGUAGAGCGAUGUGGAAUUCCGGGUGUAGCGGUGUAAUGCGCAGAUAUCCGGAGUAACACCAGUGGCGAAAGCGGCCUCCUGGACCAUUCCUGACACUCAGACGCGAAAGCUAGGGUA
rnacentral:rRNA from 1 species